GCCUUAGGGGUGGAAAGGAUUUUAAACCUUUUUUCAAAACUUUAAAGGGGAAAAAACCUAAAUUUUUGAAUAAGGAAUUUAAGGUUUAUGAUAAAAUAGCCCAGGGGGCCACUUUGGGAAGGCAGAACCGACGCUGGGUAAGAACCAAAAGGUAAUGUUACGUGCCCCAAAUUACCAAUACAUACAGAAACCAUGAAAGGCGUUUGUUGCUUAAAACAGCAGGACGGUGAUCAUGGAAGUAAAAAUCAGUUAAGGAGUGGGUAACAACUCACCGGCCGAAGCAACUAGCCCUUAAAAUGGAUGGCGCUUAAGUUGUAUACCUAUACAUUACCGCUAAAGUAGAUGGUUUAUAUUACUUGUAAUAUAGAUUUUGAAACUUUAGUGAGUAGGAAGGUACAAUGGUGUGCAUAGAAGUGUUUGGCGUAAGCCUGCAUGGAGCCGCUAUUGGUACAGAUCUUGGAAGUAGUAGCAAAUAAUCGAAUGAGACCUUGGAGGACUGAAGUGGAGAAGGGUUUCGUGUGAACAGUGGUUGAUCACGAGUUAGUCGGUCCUAAGUUCAAGGCGAAAGCCGAAAAUUUUCAAGUAAAGAAAAAUCUAAAUAUAUUUGUCAUCUAACCGAUUUUUAUACACUUGAAUAAUUUUGAACGAAAGGGAAUACGGUUCCAAUUCCGUAACCUGUUGAGUAUCCGUUUGUUAUUAAAUAUGGGCCUCGUGCUCAUCCUGGCAACAGGAACGACCAUAAAGAAGCCGUCGAGAGGUAUCGGAAGAGUUUUCUUUUCUGUUUUAUAGCCGUACUACCAUGGAAGUCUUUCGCAGAGAGAUAUGGUAGAUGGGCUAGAAGAGCAUGACAUAUACUGUUGUGUCGAUAUUUUCUCCUCGGACCUUGAAAAUUUAUGGUGGGGACACGCAAACUUCUCAACAGGCCGUACCAAUAUCCGCAGCUGGUCUCCAAGGUGAAGAGUCUCUAGUCGAUAGAAUAAUGUAGGUAAGGGAAGUCGGCAAAUUAGAUCCGUAACUUCGGGAUAAGGAUUGGCUCUGAAGAUUGAGAUAGUCGGGCUUGAUUGGGAAAGAACAAUCGGGUUUACCUGCUCCUGGUGGGCCAACACCGCUACUACCAGUUCUAGCACUGUCGUGCUCCGCCCACGAUAUCUCUAGCCAACCAGCCCUGGGCCUGUUUUGCGAGGCUCAUCCAGAAUACCAUUAU
rnacentral:ncRNA from 1 species